UUGAACGCUGCCGGCAGGCCUAACACAUGCAAGUCGAGCGGAAACGAUCCUAGCUUGCUAGGAGGCGUCGAGCGGCGGACGGGUGAGUAAUGCAUAGGAAUCUGCCCGGUAGUGGGGGAUAACUUGAGGAAACUCAAGCUAAUACCGCAUACGCCCUACGGGGGAAAGCAGGGGCUCUUCGGACCUUGCGCUAUCGGAUGAGCUUAUGUCGGAUUAGCUAGUUGGUGAGGUAAUGGCUCACCAAGGCGACGAUCCGUAGCUGGUCUGAGAGGAUGAUCAGCCACAUCGGGACUGAGACACGGCCCGAACUCCUACGGGAGGCAGCAGUGGGGAAUAUUGGACAAUGGGGGCAACCCUGAUCCAGCCAUGCCGCGUGUGUGAAGAAGGCCCUCGGGUUGUAAAGCACUUUCAGCGAGGAAGAAUGCUUGUCGGUUAAUACCCGGCAAGGGAGACAUCACUCGCAGAAGAAGCACCGGCUAACUCCGUGCCAGCAGCCGCGGUAAUACGGAGGGUGCGAGCGUUAAUCGGAAUUACUGGGCGUAAAGCGUGCGUAGGCGGCUUGAUAAGCCGGUUGUGAAAGCCCCGGGCUCAACCUGGGAACGGCAUCCGGAACUGUCAGGCUAGAGUGCAGGAGAGGAAGGUAGAAUUCCCGGUGUAGCGGUGAAAUGCGUAGAGAUCGGGAGGAAUACCAGUGGCGAAGGCGGCCUUCUGGACUGACACUGACGCUGAGGUACNAAAGCGUGGGUAGCAAACAGGAUUAGAUACCCUGGUAGUCCACGCCGUAAACGAUGUCGACUAGCCGUUGGG
rnacentral:rRNA from 1 species